CUCAAUUAUAAACAAAAGGCCACACAAAAAAAUAAAUUGAGAAGCCCAAUCUUAUGAAACAGUCCAACUUCUCAUUUUAAUAGUACUAAUUAUAGGCCCAUACGAUAUUUCAAACAAACUUACAUAACUUAUUAAACUAAAUAAACUAUUAAACAUAAUUAACAAAACUUAGUGUUUAAUACGAUGAGAUAAUCACAUGUUUCAUACAAGAUGUUUUACCUUUGUGACAUUGCAUGCGAUGCGCCGCCUCAGACGCGACCCCUAAUUUCAACCACCUUCUCCACGCCUCCAUCGACGAAAAAUGGCCCGUUCUCAGGCGGUGGACGGCACAAAGACUCCACCGAACCACAAAUCGGAGAAAACUCUGUGCGAUGAAACCCUAAUUCCUCUACCUUCUAGCCGCAAACAGAGGAGGAGGACGGGGCCUACACUCCAUUAAACACCAAAUCGGUGACGGCUUCAUACCGAUUGCAGUUUGAAUUUCCUUCACAACCCGAAGUCACUGAAGGUUUCUUCGAAUCCCUACCACGUCGGCAGCAAAAAACCUCUCCGAAACCAGAAAAAGCUGUGAUUCUCUGCCACACACUUCAAAAUCGUGACCACAAUGGGAAAAGGAUGACAAAAUCAAAGCCGACAAAUCCAGAAAAAGGUAAACCCUAGAGCCAUUUUUUAACAGAUUAAUUUUAUGCUUAUAUUAGGAACACUAAUUGCAUUUAAAUUUAGGUACUUAUGUCACAAAAACCAUUUCUUCACAUUUUAAUUGUUAUUUGUGGAUUAAAUAGAUGUCAUGGAACUUUAUAUUGGUUGACAUUUUAUUUGUCAGAAAACCAAGGUCUUUAUCAAUACUAACAUUAUUUUUCAUA